AGUGUUUGACGCAGUGUUUAGAGUUUAGCGUGAUUGUUUCUUUCUGGGGAAUGCUCCUCCUGGGUGCCAGUGCAUUCGGGCCUGGCUACAGCCCUGCGGAUCUGUUAUCAUCCACAUUUUAAACAUGAAGAAACCGAGGCUCAAGGAGACCAAGUAACUUGGCCAUGGUCAGCCAGGCGGCGAAGGAAAGCAGUCUAGAACCAGACUCUGGUCACGGGGACACUGUAUGCAGAAGAAAGCAAAGCAGAUUUUCUUUCAAAAGGAAACAGGACAAGGCACAUGAGAAAAAAAAUCAUCUGGAGACAACUUGAGCGACCAGUGUGAUCAAAGGAAGCACUAGCAUGAGGGUAGGAGGGAUCAGAGCUUGAAUUUCCGAGGUUCUCAACAGAAGUCCGAGCAUAUCGAGGCGGAUGGCUUCACUCUAGCUUCCCAAGGUGACAAGUGGGCUCUUCCGCAUCUGUAGCCACAGAACUCAGAGUACACAAAACUGAAAUGCCAAUGAUGGAACAGUUUAGAGCAACUGAAGAAGAGCAUCUUCUUAUUCUCUCUUCCCGAAGGGGGCCUUAAUCAACAGCCCAUCAAACGGCUUCCUUAGCCUGACUUUAUGCAGAAUCCCAAGAAGCCCUGGACCUAGAAAUAGAAAGCAAAAUAAAAUAUAAUGUGAGC